rnacentral:rRNA from 1 species
UGGGGAAUAUUGGACAAUGGGCGAAAGCCUGAUCCAGCCAUGCCGCGUGUGUGAAGAAGGUCUUCGGAUUGUAAAGCACUUUAAGUUGGGAGGAAGGGAAGUAAGCGAAUACCUUGCUGUUUUGACGUUACCGACAGAAUAAGCACCGGCUAACUCUGUGCAAGUAGCCGCGGUAAUACAGAGGGUGCAAGCGUUAAUCGGAAUUACUGGGCGUAAAGCGCGCGUAGGUGGUUCGUUAAGUUGAAUGUGAAAGCCCCGGGCUCAACCUGGGAACUGCAUCCAAAACUGGCGAGCUAGAGUAGGGCAGAGGGUGGUGGAAUUUCCUGUGUAGCGGUGAAAUGCGUAGAUAUAGGAAGGAACACCAGUGGCGAAGGCGACCACCUGGGCUCAUACUGACACUGAGGUGCGAAAGCGUGGGGAGCAAACAGG